GUUCUGCCGAAGAGUCCCAAACUAGGACGCAACGGCUGUCCAGUAC
rfam:Trichobilharzia regenti genome assembly, scaffold: TRE_scaffold0008987